rnacentral:lncRNA from 1 species
GAUCGAAGAUCGGUUGUCGUGGGAGCUAGUAGCGAUCUGGCCGGUGGGUCCUGUCCCGCUGUAGAAGCUCGUCUGGGAUCCGGCUACGAAGAAGCUCGGCUGAAGUCUACCUCCCGCUAUAGGAGUUCGGAGUAGAUCGCUCGCUGUAGGAGUUCGGAGUAGACCGUUCGCAGUAGAAGUUCGGAGUAGACCGCCCGCUGUAGGAGUUCGAAGUAGAUCAUCCGCUGUAGGAGUUCGGAAAAUGGUUGGUCACUGUAGAAGGUCGGCUGACAGUGAGGCCUAGAGAGCCUUUGGAACGGCAUGGUAGAUGGAUGGAGAAGCUCAUUGUCAGAGAAGUCUGGAAGCUUGGAUGGUCGGGGGGGGG